GCGCUUGCUUCAGCAGCACAUAUACUAAAAUUGGAACGAUACAGAGAAGAUUAGCAUGGCCCCUGUACAAGGAUGACAUACAAAUUCGUGAAGCAUUUCAUAUUUAA
rnacentral:snRNA from 1 species